UUCAGUCAGUGCUGAUAUUUGACGUCUAAAAUGACGUUUCAGCUGAAGUUAUUUUCCAUUGGGGUGUGUGUGUGUGUGUGUGUGUGUGUGUGUGUAUUUGUGUGUGUGUGUGUGUGUGUGUGUGUGUGUGUGAACUGAAAAUGUCAGAUUUCAUGUGUUUUUCUCUUGUAGCAGGACAGGUAGAACACAGACACUUGGGAUGCAGGGCUGGUGCAUAAAAUGUGGCGGUUUGUUAUUUAAAGUCAGGUGAGAAAGAGGAAGUGAAGGGGUGUUGAGCGUGUGCACGUGGGUCGCUGGUUUCCCGGAGUGAGGUGCGAUGAGUGGGCUGGAGCGGCCAUGUGGCGGGCUGCAGGAGGCCUGGCGGAGGUCGGGAGGGCUGGCGAGAGGUGCGGAGCAGCCGAGGGGUUUCUCCUCUGAGCUCAUCGUCGUCUUCGUCAUCGUCCAGGUCUGAAAACACACAGAGAGAGAGAGAGAGAGAGAGAGAGAGAGAGAGAUGAAUCACUUGCUGUGAGAUUGAAUGCACCACGCCGUCUCUGCUGCACCCUUUUAUAGCUGCUCCUCUUCUCCCAGACGGUGAGGAGACGCCGCUCUGAUCAUCGGCUGCCAGCAGUGUGUGUUUCUGCCCCGCCGUGCAGCCAUGUGUGCUCUUGCUCUCUGAAACAACCGGGUGCUGAUGGAGAAGUGGCAUGUCUGUUCAGAGCGUGAUGCGUGUUGUGUGUGAGGACUGCAGGCCCGCCGUCGCACUCUCUACACUCACAUGAUUUCAGUAACACAAUUACAGAAGUCCGGCUGAACCUUGUCACGACGCUUUCCAUUGUUUCUCCUCUUUAGAUUAUUUUAAAGUCACUAUAAAUAGCUACUUAAGUCCACUUUGAUGCGGUCAGCGAGAUACUGGACAGUGGUGAGGUCUGUCGUAGCCGAGCCACGUCUUUGGUGAAUAGCUUCGAGUAAUCCAUGUAGAUCAGAUGAGAACAGACUUUGAAUCCGAUACCUUGUCUGUUCAGUAUGUUUGUGAGUGGUGCAACCAUAUGUGACAAAUAAAGGCUUCUUCUUCUUCUUCUUCUUCUUCUUCUUCUUCUUCAUCAUCUACUUAUUCUUCUUCAUCUAACUGCUAGCAACAACAGUAAGGGAGACAAGGAGCUGUCUUGAAAGAUAUCCCAUAUUUUGAAGGCGAUGCUUCCUGUCCUGAUGCGGCCUCCGUCUUCCGGUUGCUCCUUGAUGUUUUGUACAAAUCGAGUUCUCUAUCCAGGUAUGGGGCAAGCUCUCGAAUGCCUUCUUGUAGUCACUUCAUGCCAUAUCUACAGUAGAUUCCUCUGGUGCUCCUUUGCUCUUGUUAAAACCAUCUCACUGACCACUGAUUUCUAAACAUCCGUUCUGCUCAUCCGGGAGGAUUCUGUUCUUCAGUAAGUGGUUUAGAAGUGGUUCAUCAGUGCAGCUGAGAGAACCUGUUGGUAGUCAGGUGAUCGGACGAUAGUUCUUGGAGUCCUUUGUGUCCCUUCCAUCGGAGAGUAAAAAGGUGACUGCAGAUGUCAGCCUCUCAGGAAUGCUUCAUCUUUAUCUGUUUUUCUCAUUUGUUGCCCUUGUGAUGUCUUCAUGCAGGGCAGAGAGCCGUUUAAACCAGAGGAUUUGAAGCUGUUCUGGUGCAGGCGACUUCCAGUGACUUACAGGUGACUCUGUUUGUUCACCUUAGCUAUUUCACCAACUGUGAAGUCUGUCCAUGAACUAGAUGUUGCUUUAUCAUUAUGGCCGUCUUUGUCCUCCAGGAGGCCAUUCCAGAAGCUCUCUACUUCAGCUUUCUGGUUGUUCAAUGGUAUAACCUCUUGAUGUUCUUGUUCUCAUGAUAGCGAUCACUUCACUUUGUAUAGCUUUUCAACCAUUGCACUUUUGCCUGGAGCUUCAUUUGGAUGUUCAACAUAAUCAGCCUUGUAUUUGUUGGGACUCCUAUCACAAGUCCAUUCUGGAUGUCUAGCUAUAUUCAGUAGGGUUCCAUGGUCUUCAGAAUCCUCCUUCUCCAUGCAGGCUCUUUGGUGCUGAUCUCUCCAUCACUUCACCGCAGCAGUGGCGUACAUGAACUCUUUGCGAGAGCAGUACUGGCUAUCACUGUAAGGUGCUUUCGGGAUUGACUUUGUUGACUCUCUUGCACUCAUCGGGGCUGCAGGCCCUUAUUUCGAUCAGUAUGCUCCAUCUCUUCUCCUCAUUGUUACUGGACUCUGGUGUAGCUCUUUUACUACUGAUAGCACAGUACCUGCCUGUAGUUGCUCGUCGGCUGGUUGAAGAAGGGAGUCAUCCAAGGUUCUUGCAGUUGGGAGCUGUUUCCUGACAUCUGCCUGGAUGUUGGUGAGGUUCUUCUCCGUCACUAUGAACUGCGUUUGGUUGGCACGAGUGUUCAUGUGAGGGAAGAGGUCUGAGAUCCUGCUUCUGCAGAUUGCUGGAGCAUUAAAGUGACAGUGAGACAGAAGUGGAGAGCUCUAAUCCCAUUUUGAGUUCACUGAUGCACUGUGUGAGUUCCCCGCGUUGCUGUACGCUCCUCCGUCCCGAUCGUGUUUCAGGCGACAGUGAAGUGCUCCUCCAGUCAGAUGCAGUAACUCACUCCAAACUGAAGUUUAAACGUGGAACUCCAUUUUCUCUGAUCGAUGAGACGUGACGCUUCAGUUUUAUCGUUCUAAUCUGUCUGAUUUCAGCAGUGUGUGUGUGUGUGCUAUAAUCAAUACGACUGCAUCCUGACUGAAGAUAAUUUCACACUCGUCUCUCCUUUCACACUGAGACAGCUUUCCCAGAAGUCCCAUCUCACAGCGAGCAGCGAGGGACAGAGUGUUCCGAACAGGCCGAGCAGAUCCUCUUUCUCCACACCGUCUCAUAUUCACUUCAGUUUUAAUAAAUACAGAGCAGACAGAAAAGAAUCUCAGAACACACAUGCCGAACGUUGAGGGUGAUGGCCUACAAUAGCAGAAGACCACAUCAGGUUCCUCUCCUGUCAGCCAGGACCCGGAAUCUGAGUCUACAGUGGACACGAGUUCUCCCAAACCAGAUAUAUGAAGAUUGGGAGGAAAAAGUCCCCUGGUCUGAUCAGUCUGGUG